rnacentral:rRNA from 1 species
UUAUUGGGCGUAAAGCGCGUCUAGGUGGUUAUGUAAGUCUGAUGUGAAAAUGCAGGGCUCAACUCUGUAUUGCGUUGGAAACUGCAUGACUAGAGUACUGGAGAGGUAAGCGGAACUACAAGUGUAGAGGUGAAAUUCGUAGAUAUUUGUAGGAAUGCCGAUGGGGAAGCCAGCUUACUGGACAGAUACUGACGCUAAAGCGCGAAAGCGUGGGUAGCAAACAGGAUUAGAUACCCUGGUAGUCCACGCCGUAAACGAUGAUUACUAGGUGUUGGGGGUCGAACCUCAGCGCCCAAGCUAACGCGAUAAGUAAUCCGCCUGGGGAGUACGUACGCAAGUAUGAAACUCAAAGGAAUUGACGGGGACCCGCACAAGCGGUGGAGCAUGUGGUUUAAUUCGACGCAACGCGAGGAACCUUACCAGCGUUUGACAUCUUAGGAAUGAGACAGAGAUGUUUCAGUGUCCCUUCGGGGAAACCUAAAGACAGGUGGUGCAUGGCUGUCGUCAGCUCGUGUCGUGAGAAG